rnacentral:lncRNA from 1 species
GAUUUCUUCUUUGUUAUUGUUAAACAUUAGGAGUCCCCCAAAGGAGCUCCUGCAUUAAAGGCCUCAUCCCCGAUGCUGCUAGUAUUCAGAUGUGGAGUUUUAGGAUCAUAGGUCUCAGCCUUCAUCAAUGGAUUGAUAAGUUGACGGACUCAAGAUUUGGUAAACUAUUGCUAGCUAGUGAGAGCUGCAAGGUCUUUGGACAGAUGUUCUAGUCCUGGACAGUCAAGGGAGUUGGUCAGAAACCUAAUAUUUGGACAAUCUCCAUGGCCAGAAAAAGGACUACAGGCACGGAUCUGCUUCUUAAGUAGAAAGAACACUGGAAGGACAUGAGAGUGGCAUAGAAUCUUUAAAGGUGAACAGCAGCCGUGGAAGCAUUUAUUUCAAAUCACACUCAGUGUCUGAUGGGCCAGAGCCACUACAUAUGUUAAAUGGCAGUUAUCAAACUACCCGAAGCGUAGCAAUAUGCCUCCGAAUGCUAGCUACAGCGCAGCAAGGCAUGCCGUUCCUGGUGGGAAGGGCAACGGACAAGUCGAAGUAAGAGUUUAAUUCUGAUGUUCUGAUGUCGUGAGGGUAGGGAGGAGGCAAAGUAGAAAAUCAAAAUAGGCUUUGGAAUUUAAGAAGAGGGAAAGAGUCUCUUUGGAGCAUCUCUAGGAGACAUAUUAAAUGUUGAUGUAUGGCAUUGAUUAAUGCUUACUGAAAUGCUUCUAUUGUGGAAUCAGAUAACUAGUGACUGCUGCCAUAUAAUUAACUGCAGCAACUGCUAGAAAAGAGGGGAUUUAAAGGACAUACUUUUACGUGUGUGUGUGUGUGUGUGUGUGUGU